UUGCACUGAUGACCUCUUAGGACACCUUUGGAUUAAACAUGAAAACAAAGCGAAUGUUUCUGAGCGAC